UUAUUCGUCUAUCGUCUUCGUCCGUGGAUGCUAAGUGCUGUCACUAGGUGGCUAAAUAUUUCAGUGUGUUUAGGGAUUGAACUAUUCAGCCCUAGUGUGUUGGUAGAGGGAUGUACUGGAGGGGGGGUCACCAUAGUUUUGAGACCGUGUGACAGUGAGACGAGAAAACUUCCGAGACGCUGGCCGAGAAGGUUACUCUAGACAUCAUUGCUGGGUACUCUCUUUCCUGACGUUGUUCUUCAUAAAAAAAGGUUGGUGGAGAUUUUUCUCAACUUCAGUGCCAGACAAGAUGCCUCUGAUGUAUCAUGUUGCGAGAUGAAAAUGGGAAGAAAACAGGAAAUCUGAAAUGUUUGGUGUUGAUGGUGGUGAUUCUGGUGUGCAGUGGUGUGGCAGUCAUUUUCUGAUUGAAAGAUGCACUGAAAUGGAUUUUCUGCAGACCUGCAGUUCAACAUCUGACUUCAACUUACCAUGUUGGUGUUCAUGCAGUGUUUGAACUGUUAUGUGAAAUAGUUGGUGUUGCCUGAUGGUUGUCUUGCAUUUUGGUGUCGUCUCUUGCGACUUUUACCCACGUUCGAUCGUGUGCCGCCGUUUCAAACUUGAUAUUGUUGAAGUUAAGGAGUUGCUGAAAUUCAAGACUGAUAAAUCAUUAGAUUUACAUCAAUUAAAAGUGCAAAUCUUUUGUUCCUUUUCCCUAAGUAAACAAAAUGUCCUCAAUUGGCAAGUUUGAAAACCAAGAAUUCGGGUGUAUCUAAAAUGCGCGUGCGCGGCUACUAAU